rnacentral:lncRNA from 1 species
GUAUCUAUCUAAUGAUUUGCAGCUUUUAGCCAAUGAAGGGGAUACUGUUGAGCCAGGUAACAAGAUAGCAAUCAUUUCAAGGUCUGCUGAUGCUACAACUCAUGUCGAGCCAUCUGAGACCAAAUCUGAGAAAGCUGCUCCUCAACCUGCCCAAAAGAGUAGUGAGACUGAGGAGAAGAAAGCACCUAAAGUUGAAGCUGCUCCUAUUACAGAGAAGCCCAAAGCGCCUUCUGCUCCAAGGAGCUCUCCUUCUGAGCCACAGCUUCCUCCUAAGGAAAGAGAAAGACGGGUGAGUCACUGUGAUUUGUGAUUGUUAUACACUCAUACCUAACUGAAUUAUGUUCAGCAAUCUUGAAAGUUGUUUUGAUGUCUUCCUUCAUCAUCAAAGGUUCCUAUGACAAGGCUUCGGAAAAGGGUUGCUACACGAUUGAAAGAUUCCCAAAACACAUUUGCUAUGCUGACUACCUUCAAUGAAGUUGAUAUGUGAGUUUCAUGGAUUUUCAAAUUGGGGUAGAAGCAUUGAACAUUGCCUAUUACACCUUUGAAUUUGCAUAUUGGAUUUUGUGAGCAUGGUCCCCAUGGAAAAAAACUAUUCUUAAUUUAAUGAAGUUUAUGCUACAUCUAUGAUGCAUUCCAAGUUUGGUAUUAAUGACGGAUCAGUAUAACAUGUUACAUAUUCUCCCAAAUAGCACAUGUCCUGUUACACGAUGUCUUGUUGUGCGUUUCUUAUAUUUUGUUGUUUAGACGAGGAGGGAGGCACUGGUAUACACCAAACCAAUACAUAUUUUCAUAUUUUUUUUAGAUCUAUUCUUGAUUUUUGCUAUAUUAUUUUACCUUAGGCCACUCACAUGUUUCUAUGUGUUAACAUCAGUAUCAUGGGGCAUGACAUUGCCAAUGACUUAAUUUCAGUGAUAUAAAGAAAAAUCAGUUCAUAUGUAGAUUAACAUAAUAGAAAAGGGGUGAUAUUCAAAUCAAAUUCUGUUGAUGAACUUUUCACAUGGAGUUUGGGUUGAAACAAUACCACAUCAAUUUGGCUACAGUCCUUUGUGUAUGUGCAAAUAUAAUCAUGUGAGAAUGCAGUGUUAUGAGUUUUUGCUGAUUCUGAUAUUCCCGUCCAUUAAUUUGUUAGUGAUAAUGGUAGUUACUUACUGUCUCUCACUGUCAGCGGCCCUUUUCUGAUUUACUUAUUGCUAUGCAGGAACGUUUUUCCUCAAGAGGCUUCCGCGCAAACAUGGAGGCGUUCGUUUUCUUCAGAAAGUGGUGAGAUUUCAAUAUGUAUAUCAGAUUUCUGUCAUUCAAGUAUUUUAUAGUUCAGGUUUCUCUUAUUCAUGAUGGAUAGCUUCACACAUGUCAUGGUUAUUGUAAGAACUAAAACUUUUUUGGAAGAGGAAAUAUUUCACAAAAUUCAAGGUUAUGCUGAUAGAGUAUUGCAUUUGUGUAACUUCUGAAAUUUUAGGCACUGUGUAAUUAAUUUAUUAUCACAGAAUAUGGAAUAUGUUGUUUGUUUGAAAAGAUAGAUCAUCUUUUUUAAGAUCCAGUAUUUUGUGGAAUGAAUGGCAGUCCUUCGGGGCUGGGUUGUUGAUAUUAUCAUGGUUUUGCGGUGUCAUGGAAAAACUACGUGACUACAUAUAAAUUUUAGAAGUUCUUUUUUAAUUCCUCAUUUCCUGGGCAUGAUGUUUACCGAGCAUAUCUGUUGGAAUUUUGUGAAAAUUUUAAGAUGCAGUUUCAUUUUAUAGUGAGAGUCCAAGGAUUUUAUGCUGUUUAUUUGAUGUGCUUUUGUUUGCUAAAAAAUUAUCAAGAUAUCAAAUGUUGUUUAUUUUUUGUGAUAUAGGAGAUACGGUUGAUGUUGUUGUCCCUCCAUUGGCUGAAUCUAUCUCUGAUGGGACCCUGGCAACAUUUCUGAAGAGUAUGUUAAUUAAUUCCUUGUACAAGUUUCUUUCCAUGUACUUGUUAUUUUUUAUGGUUAUUGGUGACUGACUGUCAUCAUGUGUUUCCUUUUGAGCAGAGCCUGGUGACAGGGUUAAUGUUGAUGAACCGAUUGCUCAAAUUGAAACAGAUAAGGUGUUAUGUUGAAACAACAUGCAAAUGUUGGUGUGGAAGAUUUCUAUGGUUAUAGGUGGAUCCAAUUUUCUUUAUUCCUAAAUAAUUCGUGCUGUAUUUUUUUUUCUUUAUUAGGUCACAAUUGAUGUAACAAGUCCUGAGACAGGUGUGAUUCUGAAGGUAUGUUUAACAGGUUUAAAACAUUUUUACUCCAUCAAGCCACACCCCAUAAAUAAUAGAAACUAUAAUUCCUGUCUCUUUUUUUAACUAAAUUUGACUUGGGUAUCUAUCUAAUGAUUUGCAGCUUUUAGCCAAUGAAGGGGAUACUGUUGAGCCAGGUAACAAGAUAGCAAUCAUUUCAAGGUCUGCUGAUGCUACAACUCAUGUCGAGCCAUCUGAGACCAAAUCUGAGAAAGCUGCUCCUCAACCUGCCCAAAAGAGUAGUGAGACUGAGGAGAAGAAAGCACCUAAAGUUGAAGCUGCUCCUAUUACAGAGAAGCCCAAAGCGCCUUCUGCUCCAAGGAGCUCUCCUUCUGAGCCACAGCUUCCUCCUAAGGAAAGAGAAAGACGGGUGAGUCACUGUGAUUUGUGAUUGUUAUACACUCAUACCUAACUGAAUUAUGUUCAGCAAUCUUGAAAGUUGUUUUGAUGUCUUCCUUCAUCAUCAAAGGUUCCUAUGACAAGGCUUCGGAAAAGGGUUGCUAC